UGGGGAAUAUUGCGCAAUGGGCGAAAGCCUGACGCAGCGACGCCGCGUGGGUGAUGAAGGCCUUCGGGUCGUAAAACCCUGUCGGGUGGAACGAAUCCCCUCCUCUCUAAUACAGGGGAGGAUUGACGGUACCACCGAAGGAAGCCCCGGCUAACUACGUGCCAGCAGCCGCGGUAAUACGUAGGGGGCGAGCGUUGUUCGGAUUUACUGGGCGUAAAGAGCGCGUAGGCGGUUCGAUGAGUCGGAGGUGAAAUCCCUCGGCUUAACCGAGGACCCGCGUCCGAUACUGUCGAACUUGAGUGCAGGAGAGGAGAGCGGAAUUCCCAGUGUAGCGGUGAAAUGCGUAGAUACUGGGAGGAACACCGGUGGCGAAGGCGGCUCUCUGGACUGUCACUGACGCUGAGGUGCGAAAGCUAGGGGAGCAAACGGG
rnacentral:rRNA from 1 species